UCGCCCCGCUGAGAGUAUCUA
rnacentral:piRNA from 1 species